UAGGGAAUCUUCGGCAAUGGGGGCAACCCUGACCGAGCAACGCCGCGUGAGUGAAGAAGGUUUUCGGAUCGUAAAGCUCUGUUGUAGGAGAAGAACGAGUGUGAGAGUGGAAAGUUCACACUAUGACGGUAACUUACCAGAAAGGGACGGCUAACUACGUGCCAGCAGCCGCGGUAAUACGUAGGUCCCGAGCGUUAUCCGGAUUUAUUGGGCGUAAAGCGAGCGCAGGCGGUUAGAUAAGUCUGAAGUUAAAGGCUGUGGCUUAACCAUAGUACGCUUUGGAAACUGUUUAACUUGAGUGCAGAAGGGGAGAGUGGAAUUCCAUGUGUAGCGGUGAAAUGCGUAGAUAUAUGGAGGAACACCGGUGGCGAAAGCGGCUCUCUGGUCUGUAACUGACGCUGAGGCUCGAAAGUGUGGGGAGCAAACAGGAUUAGAUACCCUGGUAGUCCACGCCGUAAACGAUGAGUGCUAGGUGUUGGGUCCUUUCCGGGACUCAGUGCCGCAGCUAACGCAUUAAGCACUCCGCCUGGGGAGUACGACCGCAAGGNUG
rnacentral:rRNA from 1 species